rnacentral:lncRNA from 1 species
AGAGGACAGUGUGUGAAGGGAUAACAAGAUCCUCUCACCACAUGGUCUGUUAAGGGAGAAAGAAAUAACAAAGCUUUUAUUUCCUUUAUGGAAAGCAAAGAAGCAGAAAAACUAUGUUUACAGAAGACAGAUCUUGGGGAGAUGUGGAGAGAAGAGGUCCUAAUUGGAUUAUUCACCAUGGAAGCCGUGAGAAGAUGCUGAAACAGAGAAGAUGGUUCACCAUCUGCUUAAUUUUUCCCAUGAAAGAGCCGAGCUUUCCAGAAGGAUUUCAGAAAGAUUCCCCUUAGGAUUUGCACCAGGCACCCACACCAAGAUUGGGAAAGAAUCUCAAGAAGGCUUUCCCACGGUAUGGCUGGGACAGAAGGAGCAGCCACUGCCCAAAUUGGUCAGAUACACAUUCUCCAUCUUCCCUGUAGGACAAACCCUUAAUGAAGGGGACAAAAACUGUGGACUGAGAUCACUGACCAUUCCACCCAACAACAGCCCUUCCAGGUGCACAUGGAAUAUCCACCAAGAACAGGCGCCAUGAAACGCCAAUGUACAGGCUGUAUUCCACAUAUCAGGUGCACCACUAUGCCCACUGCUGAUGGUGACACGGAGUAACAGAUGGCACUGCCAGGGCUACAGGUGCCUCGGAAUGGAGCCUUUUGAAGACUAAGCCAAGGCAGUGGCCUGAAAACUACUCAGUGAUACAGAAACCGAAGUUAUUGGAAAUUGGGGGGAGGGAAUUUAAAAAAACAGUGAUUAUCUUUUAAUAAAUGACUGUCUUCCAGAAGUAUUAAAGCUUUUGCUCACAGACGCAACCUGGCCUAUUUGUGGCUCAACACAAAAGCUCAGAGUUGGUGAGCCCCAAGAGGUCACCCCCCAGCGCAGCCCAGACCCAGAGAGACAACCCCAGCUCUAAAUGUUGA